CCUACGGGUGACUGCAGUGGGGAAUAUUGGGCAAUGGGCGCAAGCCUGACCCAGCAACGCCGCGUGAAGGAAGAAGGCUUUCGGGUUGUAAACUUCUUUUGUCAGGGAAGAGUAGAAGACGGUACCUGACGAAUAAGCCACGGCUAACUACGUGCCAGCAGCCGCGGUAAUACGUAGGUGGCAAGCGUUGUCCGGACUUACUGGGUGUAAAGGGCGUGUAGCCGGGUUGACAAGUCAGAUGUGAAAUCCUGCGGCUUAACCGCAGAACUGCAUUUGAAACUGUUGAUCUUGAGUACUGGAGAGGCAGAUGGAAUUCCUGGUGUAGCGGUAAAAUGCGUAGAUAUUAGGAGGAAUACCAGUGGCGAAGGCGGUCUGCUGGACAGCAACUGACGGUGAGGCGCGAAAGCGUGGGGAGCAAACAGGAUUAGAUACCCGUGUAGUC
rnacentral:rRNA from 1 species